rnacentral:rRNA from 1 species
UACAGAGGGUGCUAGCGUUGUUCGGAAUCAUUGGGCGUAAAGGGCGUGUAGGCGGUUUGUUAAGUCAUGUGUGAAAUCCCUCGGCUCAACCGGGGAACGACGCAUGAAACUGGCAAGCUAGAGUACCAAAGAGGGGGGUGGAAUUCCCGGUGUAGCGGUGAAAUGCGCAGAUAUCGGGAAGAACACCCGUGGCUAAGGCGGCUCUCUAGUACGGUACUGACGCUGAGACGCGAAAGCGUGGGGAGCGAACAGG